UACGUAGGGUGCGAGCGUUGUCCGGAAUUAUUGGGCGUAAAGGGCUCGUAGGCGGUCUGUUGCGUCGGGAGUGAAAACUCAGGGCUUAACCCUGAGCCUGCUUCCGAUACGGGCAGACUAGAGGUAUGCAGGGGAGAACGGAAUUCCUAGUGUAGCGGUGGAAUGCGCAGAUAUCGGGAGGAACACCAGUGGCGAAGGCGACUUCCUGGCCUGUUCUUGACGCUGAGGCGCGAAAGCUAGGGUAGCAAACGGG
rnacentral:rRNA from 1 species